rnacentral:ncRNA from 2 species
UAAUUAUCAAGAGAGGUGGAGGGAUAGGCCCUAAGAAACCCAGCAACCAACGAUGAACGUAUGGUGCUAAAUCCUACAGCGUUAGCUGAAAGAUAAUGU